GACGAACGCUGGCGGCGUGCCUAACACAUAGACAAGUCAACUUGACUGAAGGAGCAAUCUGACAGUAGAGUGGCGCAAGGGUGCGUAACGCGUAAGUAACUUGCCCCAAGGUAAGGAAUAACGUCGAGAAAUCGGCGCUAAUACCUCAUAAUGGCAGCGGAUCCGCAUGGAUAUGUUGUUAAAAGGUUUUACCGCCUUUGGGGAUAGGCUUGCGUCUGAUUAGCUAGUUGGUGUGGUAACGGCACACCAAGGCUACGAUCAGUAACUGGUCUGAGAGGAUGAUCAGUCACACUGGAACUGAGACACGGU
rnacentral:rRNA from 1 species